GACGAACGCUGGCGGCGUGCUUAACACAUGCAAGUCGAACGAAGUGGCGAACGGGUGAGUAAUACGUGGGUAACCUGCCCUCCUUUUUGGGAUAAGCCUUGGAAACGGGGUCUAAUACCGAAUAAAGGGGGAUGGGCUCGCGGCCUGUCAGCUUGUUGGUGGGGUAAUGGCCUACCAAGGCGGUGACGGGGAGCCGGACUGAGAGGGUGACCGGCGACAUAGGGACGGCGAUACGGCCCAGGUGCCUACGGGAGGGGGCAGUGUGGGAUAGUGCACAAUGGGCGACAGCGUGAUGCCGCGACGCCGCAUGGGGGAUGAAGGCUGUCGGGUUGUAAACCUCUUUCGCUAUAGAAAGGGUAGCUGGCCAAGAAGCGCCGGCUAACUACGUGCCAGCAGCCGCGGUAAUAC
rnacentral:rRNA from 1 species